rnacentral:rRNA from 1 species
GAUUUGUCUGGUAUAAUUCCGUUAACGAACGAGACCUUAGCCUGCUAAAUAGGAUCCCCAACCUUCUGGUUGACGGAGGCCUUCUUAGAGGGACGUCGCGUGUCUAACGSAGGNAAGUGUGAGGCAAUAACAGGUCUGUGAUGCCCUUAGAUGUUCUGGGCUGCACGCGCGCUACACUGAUGCGUUCAACGAGUUUUACCUGCUCCGGAAGGAAUGGGCAACCUUGUGAAAGCGCAUCGUGAUGGGGAUAGAUUAUUGCAAUUUUUAAUCUUCAACGAGGAAUUCCUAGUAAGCGCAAGUCAUCAACUUGCACUGAUUACGUCCCUGCCCUUUGUACACACCGCCCGUCGCUCCUACCGAUUGAAUGAUCCGGUGAAUACUUGGGACCGUGUCGCAAUCAUGUUUCUGGUUGCGAUGUGGGAACUUGAGUGAACCUUAUCAUUUAGAGGAAGGAGAAGUCGUAACAAGGUUUCCGUAGUGAACCUGCAGAAGGAUCA